CGGCGGACGGGUGAGUAACACGUGGAUAACCUACCUAUAAGACUGGGAUAACUUCGGGAAACCGGAGCUAAUACCGGAUAAUAUAUUGAACCGCAUGGUUCAAUAGUGAAAGACGGUUUUGCUGUCACUUAUAGAUGGAUCCGCGCCGCAUUAGCUAGUUGGUAAGGUAACGGCUUACCAAGGCAACUAUGCGUAGCCGACCUGAGAGGGUGAUCGGCCACACUGGAACUGAGACACGGUCCAGACUCCUACGGGAGGCAGCAGGC
rnacentral:rRNA from 1 species